UCGAUUCUCACUUUCGCAUUGUUUUUUUAUUUUUUACGAAAAGUAAAUGAGAUGACAUGGCAAUUUCGGGUUCUCUGAUUGGUUGAUUUUUCUAUCCUAUGUGGACACCCUCUCCAUGGCUUAUAUCCCCCUUUUAGUAUAGUAUAGAUUAUACAGAUAUUCAAAAUAUAUUUUAUAUAGUUUCUAUAAAUGUGUUAUAAGAUUCCUUCUGCAUUUCAGCACGAAAAUAAGUUUUACCAAAAAGGCAAAAACGGUUAAGAUCCAAAAUGUUCCUACAUCAAUGGAAUUAUGUAAAAUCCCUCUACUAUUAAUUUUCUGAGAAUAAACAAAUAUUAAAAUCUUACAAAAAAUCAAAAUUUUGACAAUAAAAUUUUGAAAAAUAAUCCAAUUAAGAGAAUAUAAAUAGUUACAAAAGUUACGUAAUUGUCGUAAAUAUUAUAUUUUUUUUUGAUGAUUACAUAACUAAUCAAUACUAUUAAAACAGAAGGCCCUUUUUUGAGGUGCCCUCCUAUUUCAAUAAUAUUUACAAGAUUUUGCCACUGAAAUAUUUUUAAGCUAUGAUUUUAGUUAUUUCAUAAAAUCCUUUUAUUUCAACAAACUUUUAUUAUUUAAUUCCCUUUAAAUCUUAACAACAUUAAAUCUAUCGAAUCAUUUCAAAAUUUUCAGAAUUAUAAUUAUACAUAGUGAAGUAAACCCAACUGAUUUUCAUUGCAAAUAAACUAUAAGAUGUUGUUUUUUAAUAUAUUUUCUCAAACACCAUCAGACGCCCUCAAGAUUCGAUAAACAAUAUAUGCAUCUGAAUUUCUUAAACAAAACUGUUUUCCUCUUUAAUUUUUGGCAACGACAUUGAACAAAACAAAGUUCAUGAAAGAAAAAGAUCACAUGAUGAUUCACAUUGCACAUACUAUUACAUCAGUAUAAGUCUUGAUAUGCUUUACAAAUGUGGCACUAAUCUAAAUUACAAAAUUCUAACAUAUAUGAACAUACUAAUAGUUAUGUAUUUUGAAGCUUUACAUAUUUAGAUGUAUAGUAUGAAAGAGAUCAUAUUCUUAUGUAUGACAAACCACUAUAGUUCUUCAUGGUCGUUCAUCUAUACUAUUAUAGCACAAAAGCAUACCCUAAGUUAUGAAUCCCCAUAAACCCCAAUUUUUUUUUCUCUCAUCUAUUAAAAAUAAACCAUCAAUCUACAAAUAUGGAUGACUAUAUAUCAAAAAUAUUUUUUAGAUAUUCUAUCUAAAUGUUUGUAACUAUAAUAAAUGCCAAUAUAAACAACUUUAAUUAGCUUGAUACUCAGAUUUGUGAUUAUACGGAGAUAUUUUCUAACUAUAUUAAAUGAAGAGCUUAUAAUUACUCGGCCUAUCACGUUAGUUGCAAAUCUUUCACAUAUCAAUAAAAAACUCUAAUUAAUCUAGCUUUCUAUUUAAAUGCAAUAUAAAAAAUAAAAACAAAAGAAUCAGAAUUUUUUUGGCAUAAAUAUCUGAAUAUACUAAAUCAUAAUAUCUAUUUUCCAUAGGUUUAAUUAGCUUGAUGCUCAAGAUAUAUGAUUAUUGCGAUAUCUUCUCUAACUACAUGAGCGCAAAGUAUUCUAAACCCACAGCCUUAAGCUUUCUUAUAUAUACAGGUGCUCGAUACCUCUGAGCAAACACGUUCCUUUCUUAAAAUUUAUGAGAAAAUGUCCUGAUGAGGUUAAGCCAUGGAAAAUGACAUGGUUCAUGCAAGUCAUAGUGAUACAUACCUGGAAAAAAAUUCAAUGCCGGGUCGUGAGACGUUUGAAAUCAUGUUUGACAAAAAGGGGUUCAAAAUUCAUAUAUCUUUAAGAAGUUUCUCUGUCCCGUCUUUAGUCAGCAACAUGUUUUUAACAUUUAGUCUGUAAUUCUGUAUGGAACAUAUAUAUCAUAAGCAAUCGUACAUAGAGCUAAAUUUCUUAAGCUUUAUCUAUUCGUCCAUCCCAUAAAUAUUAAGAGAGUUAACCGAUUGCAUUUGUAGAAAAUAAAAACUAAGUACUCGGAGUUUACGGAAUUCAGUGUAUAUUGAUUAGCUUUGACCGAUUUUUCAAGUUCUCGUGGAUUGUUAACAACAAACUAACACAUGCUUUCAAAGUGAACUGAGAUGAACUUUAUAAGAAUUUGCAACGAAUUUUAUAUACUAACAGUAUUGAUAUAUAAAAUCUAUUAAUAAAAAAUUAGUUUAAUAUUUAUCAAAUACUAAACAAAUUGUACAAACAGAUUUAAGUCUUGGCAUAUAAAUUGAAAACUGAAACAACAUAAAAGAAAUCAAAUCAAUGUUCACAAAUAUCUUAACGAUUCCUAUAUCGCUGGAACAAAAAAACUGAAACCAAAUCAAAUUAACCAAACUGAGAACCGAAUGGGUACCCGAAUUUCUUAAAUACAAUUUAGGGAAAAAUCUAAAAAAAUAUCUCAACUAAAUUUUGUUAAACUUUUUUAAUACAAAAACAUUUUUGCUACCCAAUUUAAUAUCCCAACUAAUUAUUUAAUUCAUUUUAAUACACAAACUUUUAAAACUGUGCCCCUUUUAAUACCCAAACUUUUUUAUUUUAAAUUUGAUUUGAAAUUUAUUAUUUUUUUCACUUAAAAUAAACAAAUUUUGAGUAUUAAAAUGAACAAAAUAAUUAGUUGGGUACUAAACUGGGUAGAAAAAAGUUUGGGUAUUAAAAAGCUUAAUGAAAUUUAGUUCAAGUAUUUUUAUGGAAUUUUCCUUGCAAUUUAUAUACCUUAAAAUAUUAAUUAUCUUUAGUUUAAAAUUAUUUUAUAUAUACUAAAAAUUAUAACAGAACAACCCCAAAAAAUAGAUUACCCUAUUACUUUUUAUCCAAGAUAUUUAGAGCUGAAUCGCCCAAAAAAUUAUUCAAAAUAUUUAAAUUUAUCAGAAUUAUACGAUAAAGUAUCUAACAAAAUCCAAAAUAUGAUUUUACCCGAAUUAUUAAAAAUUAUCCAAAAUUGGGAACCAAAAACUGGACUGAACUCAAAUUUAAUCAGGUUCAUGACCUUGCUAUCCAAACCAAAAACCAAAAUAACUAAACCGAAACUAAACCUGAAUUCAUAAUUAACCAAACGGUUUUUAUAUUUUUUGAACCGAAUAAACGAAAUCACAACCGAAUUGAAAAAAAAUCGAAAAUCAAAAAAAAAAAAUUGGAACUGAAACGAAAACCGAACUUCCAUAGCUAAACAUAUUACUGAACUAGCGGGUUAGUAAAAUUUUAAUUAAAAAAUAAUCCCGCGCUUUCAAAGCGCGGGUCAAAAUCUAGUGAUAUAUUAAACUAACUAUAUUACAAUAUCAAUGAAAAUUAUAUAAAUUUAUUUUGAAGAAAGUAAUGAAAAUUAUACUUUUAUUUAUUCAGUAUUCAUAUUUAUAAAAUGUUUUAGUUACUAAAUUAUUUAUUACAAAAGUUAACAUUCAUUUUUUUAGAAAAAUAUUGAUUUAUAUUUUUUUACCAAAAAAACAUAAACUCUAAAAGCCAUUUUAGGUCUACUGUUACUCAACUAUAAUUGUUGACUAACCACGUACAUGACUAAAAAAGUAUGGUAUGAAAGUUUAUGAUCAAAAUAGCUUGUUAACAAAAGUUGAGUGUUUUUGAGGUUCACGGAAAAGUUGUUGUUUUAUUUCAACCAAAUUUUAAAAGUUGAUGAUUUAAAUGACAUUUUCUCCAUAAAAAAUGCAAUAAAUAUAUAUAAUUCAAUCAUUAAAAAAUAAUACUACAGAAUACAAGCAGAAUAAAUUUGUAAAAUACAUUUUUAAGUGGUAUAAACAUCAGAAUACAUUUGUAAAAUACAUUUUAUACAAAAAUAAAAUAGUAACCUAAUGAUAAAAUAGUAAAAGUAACAAAAAAUCAUCUAAACAAUUUACAAUGUAUAAAAGGAAUUUUCUAAUAUUCCUUUAAGAAAGAAUGUGAUUUUGAAAGAAAAAUCACAUAUAAUUUUAAAGUCCAUAUAAAAUAAAUUAAACUAACAAAAAAACAUUAAAAAUUAGUCAACUAGAUAUAUACUACUUUUAGAAAAUUAGCAUAACACUAACAAACAUUUUUUUUAGAUAGAAAAUGUAAGUAUUGAUAAACAUUUUUUAACUAACAUAUGUACAACUGCAUUUCAGAGUAGCAGCAGCAACCAAACUCCAGUCAUUGGCAAAGAAGGUGGACAAGCAACAGCAGCAGUCAGCUACACGGUUGUUGCUGCGAAGAUAGCUAUGGGAGUUGAUGAAGAAAAUCCUCCUGACUUUGUAGACAAAGAAAAAAGCUGCAAACAUUACCGUCAGUGAAUAGUUUCAAGUCGAUCAAACCGUCAACCCCACUUAGUUUUCGUCACUUUCAGAAUUGCUACAUUCUUAUGUUUUCCCUAUUUUAAACUUUGUUUAUCUCUUGCAUUUUCGGCUACUAUGAUUCAAUAUAAUAAAGGCAGCGUUGACGGGUCUUUUGCAUAUUGAAAUAUUUUUACGUUAUUGCAUAUUUGCAUGAGUGCCUGUUCACAUAGUAGCAUGUCACUUACGUAAACAGAGCGUCAACCUCGGCUCUGUUAGGAUGCAUAUUUUGUUACUGAUUAUUAUAGAUGUAAAUUUAGGCAGACGUUUUAUCAAGUUACUGAUUAAUGGGCUUCCAUAUAGCCCACUGAAAGUACUGAGAUAAGCAUAAUCCACAACUGAACCAUUUUUUUCGUAGACCACCGUCAUGUUUUAAAAUUUCAAAGGUGCGCAACAACAACCAUUAACUUAUACAUUUAUAAACCAGGAUGAUGACUAAAUAAACACAUUUUUACCGUCACCACUUUCAUAUAAUUCUUAAUAAAUCUAACUCCCAUCCCAUUCAAGAUCACGUGGGAGCAUACAAUGAAAUGUCAACAACAAUAACCUCCUUUCAAUCUUUUGUAAAUGAAAUUUCAGAAUUUCAAAACAAAACCCCAAAAAACGAAACCUAUUGUUUUCAAGAUAUAACAUCCUUUUGAGUAUAAAUAAUAGAUACUUGAAGUUGAAUAUAUAAGAAAGUUUAAUUCAUUUUUUUCUACAAUUUAACAUUUCACUGAUGUAAGCAUUUUAAUAAGUUCAUUAUUCGAAAAAGGUCGUCCAUAUUUUAAAAAACCUUUCGGCUGGGCUUAUAUUAGCCAUUAACAUAGUCAGACAAAUCAAACAAUAUGUUCGUACGUCUGGAGUAUGCAAAUGUUCCGUGUCCACUCGCGACCCACUACGGAAUGAAGGGUGUCACAUGACCCCCUAAAAUAUGAUAACAAACUUUUUAUAAGAAAAACAUGUAGAAAAUCAGCAGCAACGUUGGUAUAUUCCUUCAUUGUUAAAUUAUAGAAAAAAAUGUUAAAUUAUAAGCCCAGCCGCCAUGAAUUAUCAACAUACACGUAUGUGUAGAUAGUAGUAUAGUACUACUACUAUCCCCCAUUGUAUUUGCCUUCACAUCUCUUAUUCAUUGUUCAUCAUUCACAAUGCUAAUGGUAUUUUACAGACUCAGAUUUACUUUGAAUGAAAAGCUUAUUAUAACAAUAAUACAGACUUCAUUAAUAUUACACACAAAUUGUAUCUGA